rnacentral:rRNA from 1 species
GGGGAAUAUUGCACAAUGGGGGAAACCCUGAUGCAGCGACGCCGCGUGGAGGAAGAAGGUCUUCGGAUUGUAAACUCCUGUUGUUGAGGAAGAUAAUGACGGUACUCAACAAGGAACUGACGGCUAACUACGUGCCAGCAGCCGCGGUAAAACGUAGGUCACAAGCGUUGUCCGGAAUUACUGGGUGUAAAGGGUGCGUAGGCGGCUUUGCAAGUCAGAUGUGAAAUCUAUGGGCUCAACCCAUAAACUGCAUUUGAAACUGUAGAGCUUGAGUGAAGUAGAGGCAGGCGGAAUUCCCCGUGUAGCGGUGAAAUGCGUAGAGAUGGGGAGGAACACCAGUGGCGAAGGCGGCCUGCUGGGCUUUAACUGACGCUGAGGCACGAAAGCGUGGGUAGCAAACAGGAUUAGAUACCCUGGUAGUCCACGCUGUAAACGAUGAUUACUAGGUGUGGGGGGUCUGACCCCUUCCGUGCCGGAGUUAACACAAUAAGUAAUCCACCUGGGGAGUACGGCCGCAAGGUUGAAACUCAAAGGAAUUGACGGGGGCCCGCACAAGCAGUGGAGUAUGUGGUUUAAUUCGAAGCAACGCGAAGAACCUUACCAGGUCUUGACAUCCAACUAACGAAGUAGAGAUACAUUAGGUGCCCUUCGGGGAAAGUUGAGACAGGUGGUGCAUGGUUGUCGUCAGCUCGUGUCGUGAGAUGUUGGGUUAAGUCCCGCAACGAGCGCAACCCUUGCUAUUAGUUGCUACGCAAGAGCACUCUAAUAGGACUGCCGUUGACAAAACGGAGGAAGGUGGGGACGACGUCAAAUCAUCAUGCCCCUUAUGACCUGGGCUACACACGUACUACAAUGGAUGUUAACAGAGGGAAGCAAGACAGUGAUGUGGAGCAAACCCCUAAAAACAUUCUCAGUUCAGAUUGCAGGCUGCAACCCGCCUGCAUGAAGAUGGAAUUGCUAGUAAUCGCGGAUCAGCAUGCCGCGGUGAAUACGUUCCCG